AAAAAUUACUUUACUUUCCUUUCUUUAUUCCUUCAGUCUGAAAAACCCACAGUCUUUAGUUUCUGCACUCGGCUUUUCUAUUUUUCUUCAUUCCCCAAAAACCCACACACAAUCUCAUUAAGAAAAAAAAAAAUCCAUGCUCCAUCUCCCUGCAUCUCUUACCUCUUCUCUUGCAAACAUAUGAAAGACUAAGGAAAAAUUGUGUUUGAGGUGAGCGGUAGUUUUGUAGAGGAGCUUCACUUGGAAAGUUUGCAGCAUCAAAUAGAAAGUGAUCUUAUGCCAAGUGCCCGAUGUGACCAAAGUGAUUCUUAUGUGGCAAGGGAUUGGAAUGAGCUAGGGGUGACAAAUUGUGGAAAUGAGACAAAACUCCUAAGUGGAUCAGUUAUCGAGGUGGAUUGCCUAAGGCAUUAUAUGUGGUGAAAGAUGUAUUAACUGGAAUGAGAAAACAUGUUCAUCUGCUGGACAUAACAACUUUAUCACAACUCAGAAAAGAUGCACAUCCUGGCUUGGCUUUAGGCGCAUGGACUGUAACCAUUGGUGUAUUGCAGGACUUCCAAAUACUUGGAAUCGACUUUUUAUGCAUUCCUCAUAAUUGUCAUGCUUGUUCUAGUAUUUUUAGUUUAUAAAAAUGAUCAUACGGUUACUUAGGUCCUUCCGUCCAUAGAUCACCAUUUUUAAGGGAAUCAAGUAUCAAAACACGAUCGAUUUUUUCAUUUUCAAUGUCAACCAGAUAUUGAGAGUUAAACAUCAUUAAUGAAACUCUACAAUCCUGCAUAAUUUAGAGUAUUUAAUAUAUUCAUAAUUUGAACCAUAAAUUUGCACAACUCUUUGAUUU